AACGAACGCUGGCGGCAGGCUUAACACAUGCAAGUCGAACGCCCCGCAAGGGGAGUGGCAGACGGGUGAGUAACGCGUGGGAAUCUACCCUGAACUGCGGGAUAGCUCCGGGAAACUGGAAUUAAUACCGCAUGUGCCCUGAGGGGCAAAGAUUUAUCGGUUCAGGAUGAGCCCGCGUCCGAUUAGCUAGUUGGUGGGGUAAAGGCCUACCAAGGCGACGAUCGGUAGCUGGUCUAAGAGGAUGAUCAGCCACAUUGGGACUGAGACACGGCCCAAACUCCUACGGGAGGCAGCAGUGGGGAAUAUUGGACAAUGGGCGCAAGCCUGAUCCAGCCAUGCCGCGUGAGUGAUGAAGGCCCUAGGGUUGUAAAGCUCUUUCACCGGGGACGAUAAUGACGGUACCCGGAGAAGAAGCCCCGGCUAACUUCGU
rnacentral:rRNA from 1 species